rnacentral:rRNA from 1 species
GGGGAUAUUGCACAAUGGGGGGAACCCUGAUGCAGCGACGCCGCGUGGGUGAAGGAGCGUUUCGGCGCGUAAAGCCCUAUCGGCAGGGAAGAAGGAGGACGGUACCUGACUAAGAAGCCCCGGCUAACUACGUGCCAGCAGCCGCGGUAAUACGUAGGGGGCAAGCGUUAUCCGGAUUUACUGGGUGUAAAGGGAGCGUAGACGGCGGUGCAAGCCAGAUGUGAAAGCCCGGGGCUCAACUCCGGGACUGCUUUUGAAACUGUGUGACUGGAGUGCAGGAGAGGUAAGCGGAAUUCCUGGUGUAGCGGUGAAAUGCGUAGAUAUCAGGAGGAACACCAGUGGCGAAGGCGGCUUACUGGACUGUAACUGACGUUGAGGCUCGAAAGCGUGGGGAGCAAACAGG